rnacentral:rRNA from 1 species
ACGCUGGCGGCGUGCCUAAUACAUGCAAGUCGAGCGAAGUUUUUCUGGUGCUUGCACCGGAAAACUUAGCGGCGAACGGGUGAGUAACACGUAAAGAACCUGCCUCAUAGACUGGGACAACUAUUGGAAACGAUAGCUAAUACCGGAUAACAGCAUUAACUGCAUGGUUGAUGUUUAAAAGUUGGUUUUGCUAACACUAUGAGAUGGCUUUGCGGUGCAUUAGCUAGUUGGUGGGGUAAAGGCCUACCAAGGCGACGAUGCAUAGCCGACCUGAGAGGGUGAUCGGCCACACUGGGACUGAGACACGGCCCAGACUCCUACGGGAGGCAGCAGUAGGGAAUCUUCCGCAAUGGGCGAAAGCCUGACGGAGCAACGCCGCGUGAGUGAAGAAGGAUUUCGGUUCGUAAAGCUCUGUUGUUAGGGAAGAAUGAUUGUGUAGUAACUAUACACAGUAGAGACGGUACCUAACCAGAAAGCCACGGCUAACUACGUGCCAGCAGCCGCGGUAAUACGUAGGUGGCAAGCGUUGUCCGGAAUUAUUGGGCGUAAAGCGCGCGCAGGUGGUUUAAUAAGUUUGAUGUAAAAGCCCACGGCUCAACCGUGGAGGGUCAUUGGAAACUGUUAAACUUGAGUGCAGGAGAGAAAAGUGGAAUUCCUAGUGUAGCGGUGAAAUGCGUAGAGAUUAGGAGGAACACCAGUGGCGAAGGCGGCUUUUUGGCCUGUAACUGACACUGAGGCGCGAAAGCGUGGGGAGCAAACAGGAUUAGAUACCCUGGUAGUCCACGCCGUAAACGAUGAGUGCUAAGUGUUGGUCUCAUAAGAGAUCAGUGCUGCAGCUAACGCAUUAAGCACUCCGCCUGGGGAGUACGACCGCAAGGUUGAAACUCAAAGGAAUUGACGGGGACCCGC